rnacentral:rRNA from 1 species
UACGUAGGGUCCGAGCGUUUGUCCGGAAUCAUUGGGCGUAAAGCGCGCGUAGGUGGCUUCGUAAGUCCGUUGUGAAAGUCAAAGGCUCAACCUUUGAAAGCCGAUGGAUACUGCGGAGCUAGAGUACGGAAGAGGCGAGUGGAAUUCCUGGUGUAGCGGUGGAAUGCGCAGAUAUCAGGAGGAACACCAAUAGCGAAGGCAGCUCGCUGGGACGUUACUGACACUGAGGCGCGAAAGCGUGGGGAGCGAACAGG